UGUUUCAGAGCCAUUGCUUUUGUGGGCCUGCUGCUAUGGAAAUUGCUUUGUGAUGUAUGGAGCUCUCAGGGGGCUGACUUGGCAGAAAUGCAUUUUCAUAAAUUAGUGCUCUCAUCUCCCUUUGUGCUCAACCACAAGGCUACAUUCAGACUUCAGGACCCAAAUGGCCUGAAUAGGGGCAGAAACACCUAAUAUAUGUGAGUGGUGGGAAAAUAAAUCUAUGAAACCUACAAACAGGGCAGGCUUGACUUACUAGUGGUUCAGCUUGGGACUCAGAAAACCAAAAUAACCAACAUUUUUCCUAGGGCCUUUCCUACUCUCCAAGUGCCUUUUGUAAUGUGAAAUCCGCAUGCUCCUGCUACACUUUUUUAUGAGCACAAGCUGCCGUUACGCAAAGCCCUGGCUCGGUUGGUAGCACUUUGCAGUAAUAUGAUGGGAUCCUGCGCCUGGGAGCGAGCUCUGGCUUCCUGCUGCGAGGACCAGCAGAGGCUACAUGAAUUACUGCGGUAAUGCACAGCCCCAGGGGAACGGGAAAAGGAGAGAAGGGUGCGCCAGGGGAAAGGGCAGUUCAUAGUUCUCCCUAGAGCCCCAAACAGUUGCUCAAGAGCUGCAGCCACAUGAACUUCAGGUAAAAACGGUCUCUUUACUGUCCCUGCUUGGAAUGGAGCAGGACAGGCUGAAGGAGGAGUUAUGGAAGAAGCAAAAACAGAAAAUCCCUAUCAAUUGGAUCUAGGGAGAAGAGGCUGGAAGGUUUUCAGAAAGCCCUAACUUGGGUUAUGUGCUUGUGGGGUGUGAGUACAUCUCCUUUCUUAUACAAAAAGAAAUACUCACCUGCACACUCAAAACCCCACAUUAACAAAUCAGGAGCUUAAUCCUGGUCCUACCGAAGUCAACAGAAAAUCUCCCAUUGACUUGAGCAGCACAGGAUUGCACUUACAGCUGAAAUCCUACUGCUUUUUCAAGGCAAAGUAUGUGGUGAAAACUGUUGUGUCAGAUGAGUUGUUGGUUUGAGGAUUCUACCGGAUUCUCGUUUCUUAUCGGACUAUGAGGAACGGAUGACCUCAAUGGAAGGAUCUUUGAGGAAACAAGGAUAUGUCAAGUGUGGAUUAGACCAAUCCUGUAAGAAAUUGAAUAAUUUAGGCUCCUUUUAACUCCUACUAAUUUCACUGGGAGCUACAGUCCUCUGCACCUUUUAGGAUGGAUUCUGUCUUGGAGACUAAGAUUGGUGCUAAGAUAUUAAGAGGAAACAGCAACACUAAGUGUUUACAAGUAAAGAAUACUGAAACAAGGGACAUUUUCUACAUAUUGUGAAUGUCAUAUCCUAUACUGCAGUGUGAUGCCACCACAAUGAUGUGACGCACCAGGGGAUAUCUAAAGAUUGCAAUGGUCAGAAUAUUCAUUUUGCUGUGGCACGCUCAGUUGCACUAGUCCCCAUCUUGGGAUGGGGCGGGUAACAAAUAGAGAUUCCAGCUACUGCAAUACCAACUCUACUUCUUGCAAUAUCCCAUCUUCUCCUUGGACAUUUCACACCCAAAUACAGUACAGAGUGCUUCCUGCUUGAUGUAGGGAGUUGGGCUGAUGUGUUUUCCUGGAUGUCCUACCAUUUCUGACUUCUGGACUCUAUUCACUGGUUUUAAGAACUGGAAACACCUUUGGUUGGCUAAAAGUAUAGCAAAUGAAUUUUUUUUUAGAUGCAAAAAUGUUUUGGGGUGCUAUCUUUUAUUGGACCAACUGCUCAGGAGAGAUUUAGGCAAGCUUUGGGGUAAAAGGCACCUUUACAUAGUCUCCUUCACAGUGGUGUUUCCAACUCCAUUUUACAAAAGUGGAUACACAAGCUAGAGAGAGAGAGUGGGAGCAGUCACCUGCCAUCCAAUCCUAUUCCUUAACCACAAGAUCAUCUCUGUCGGUUCCUUGAGCCAGAUCCUCAGCUAAUACUAUGCCAGUUUACAGAUGAGACCCUGGCUCUUUGUGUUUUAAUAAGAAUAUUUUCCUGAUCAGUGCAGUCUUUCUUCUGUUGGAAUCUGCUGUGGAGUAUUUCCAGCCUGUAGCUGUGGAAAUGAACUCGAUGCCACAAAUUUAGUAUGAUGCUUCACUUCAGGAACAAGCAAAAGAGAAAGAGCUGGCAGGGAAAGAACACUUGCUCACACAAAUAGCUUUGGUAUUUAGCCAAAAUGGCAAGAAAUCCUAUGAAAGACAAGACAUUACAAACAAUGUUAUGAAUGUGAUGUAUUCUAAAGUUUUCUGCAGUAGGAAAAUGCUACUGUAACAGAUACUUUCCCAGAAGACUUGUUGCAUACUAAUGGGUAGUCUACCUAGCAGUUGUGCCGUAACAGGGAAAACGAUCUGCUGCUGAUCCGCCUUCCAGGCUGUUCUAAUCUAAUGUGCUGAGGACCCUCCUGUACACAUCAGAAAGAGAAGUAUAGGUACCUGGUGUGUACAGCAACAGUGCCUGGACAGGUGACUGAUACUAAAAGUUUAAACCCAAUACACAUCUCCAGUCAGAGGUACAGCCAGCUAUACUAAAACACAGCACAAAUACAAUAUAGAAUACAUUGCAUACCAGAGAUUCCCUCCAGCUGUGUCUCUUCCAGCACAUCACACACGCUGACAAAUUAAGUUAUCAUCGUCAUCAUGGACUGGGAAAUAGGGCCCAGAAACCUGAAAUACCUUACCCCAAGGACACUCAACAAAUGUAUGACAGAGAAAUAAAAGCUCCUGAUUGUGAGGCUGGUGCUUUAAGCACAAGAUCA